GUGCUGUGGCUGACGUGAGAACUGAAUGCAUGGAGCUGCAAUGGUGGACUCCAGGCCUGCUUCGUCAUCGUCAGAUAUGUCAUUUAACAGCUGAGCCUCGCUUUCCUCACAUGAAAAAUGAUUGCGAUGAUUGAUAUUUACCUCAGAGAAUUUAAAUGGGACUGCCACCGUACCUAUGGGAAAGUCACUGCUGAACUGGUGACAUUUCUGUAUAUAUGUUGAGCACAGGGUCGGUCCCUGGAACAGAGCCGUUGCAUUGCAGUUGAACUUCUAGUAGCCAAGGCAAACCUCUGGACCCUCUGUGGUAGCACCAGGAUCCACCAACAGGCAACACAAGCUGAGGCCCGGAGGCUUCUGUGGGACCAUGUAUGAUUCCACUUCAUCUCCUGCAACCCUGUUGCUCUCCAAUAUGGCAAGAGGAGCAUUGGGUCUUCCUCCUUUGUUAAGACAUUUAUACCAGUUGAGCAAGAAGUCGGUGCUAGAGCGGCAGCAGCCGGUUUGGAGCGCAGUCUCUUCCUCAUGGAACCCUGGCCGGAUCACUGGUCUUCACCACCACUGUAAACUUCUAAAUUCCCUCUUGUUAAACAAAUUAGAGUGGGUUCAAGGUUAUAUUUUGAUAUUAAUAGUUUUACCCUCAUCGCCCCGUGAUCAAAGAGAAAAGGGUGAGGGGACAACUAUCAGCUGGAACUGUAGUACACUUUCCUUCUCUUACAGACCUAGUGCUUCCAAUGCGCCCUGCCUGUCUCUCCACACUCUCAAGGUCUUCUCCACUCAUCUUCUUGGCUGUGUGGAUUUGAAAACACACAGCGUUUGUCCGUAAUCUCAUCCUCAUCCACACUGACUGUGGAUAACCGGAUGUGUUUUGUGAGGCCCCUCAGUCUCAACAUGGUUUUACAGACUCGGUCCUAAGCAGGUAUCACAUUCUUACUGACCCACAGCUGCUGUGCUACUUAGGUUUGUGUCUGUUGGAAUUCCAGG
ensembl:lncRNA